CACGUGAGAAACCUGCCCCGAAGUUUGGGAUAACCCAGGGAAACUUGGGCUAAUACCAAAUACCUUCUGAGAACCGCAUGGUUCACUGAAGAAAGAUUUAUCGCUUUGGGAGGGUCUCGCGGCCUAUCAGCUUGUUGGUGAGGUAAUGGCUCACCAAGGCAUCGACGGGUAGCUGGUCUGAGAGGACGAUCAGCCACACUGGGACUGAGACACGGCCCAGACUCCUACGGGAGGCAGCAGUGGGGAAUCUUGCACAAUGGGCGAAAGCCUGAUGCAGCGACGCCGCGUGGGGGAUGAAGG
rnacentral:rRNA from 1 species